CCAGGGGUAAGGUGCAAAGAAUCACGUCGCCUGGAAACAAGUCUGGUGUGAGUCGAGCCUCGUUAGAAAUAGGUAUAGAAGCAAUCGCAGUGAAGCAAUCCGAAUAAAUACAUAAAAAUUUUUAUUUAUUUUUAUUCAUAUGCAAAUUA